rnacentral:rRNA from 1 species
ACGAGGGUGACAGGUGGUGCAUGGUUGUCGUCAGCUCGUGUCGUGAGAUGUUGGGUUAAGUCCCGCAACGAGCGCAACCCUCGCCUCUAGUUGCCAGCAUUCGGUUGGGCACUCUAGAGGGACUGCCGGCGACAAGUCGGAGGAAGGUGGGGAUGACGUCAAAUCAUCAUGCCCCUUAUGACCUGGGCUACACACGUGCUACAAUGGGCGGUACAAAGGGCUGCGAACCCGCGAGGGGGAGCGAAUCCCAAAAAGCCGCUCUCAGUUCGGAUUGCAGGCUGCAACUCGCCUGCAUGAAGCCGGAAUCGCUAGUAAUCGCGGAUCAGCAUGCCGCGGUGAAUACGUUCCCGGGCCUU